GCGAGAGUGGCGGAACAGGCAGACGCGCAGGAUUUAGGAUCCUGUGGGGCAACCCGUGGGAGUUCAAGUCUCCCCUCUCGCACGA
rnacentral:tRNA from 1 species